rnacentral:rRNA from 1 species
AUUGAACGCUGGCGGCAGGCCUAACACAUGCAAGUCGAGCGGAGUUUUCGGACCUAGCGGCGGACGGGUGAGUAAUGCGUAGGAAGCUGCCCGAUAGAGGGGGAUACCAGUUGGAAACGACUGUUAAUACCGCAUAAUGUCUACGGACCAAAGUGUGGGACCUUCGGGCCACAUGCUAUCGGAUGCGCCUACGUGGGAUU